rnacentral:rRNA from 1 species
GGAUAACUACUGGAAACGGUAGCUAAUACCGCAUAAUGUCGCAAGACCAAAGAGGGGGACCUUCGGGCCUCUUGCCAUCGGAUGUGCCCAGAUGGGAUUAGCUUGUAGGUGAGGUAACGGCUCACCUAGGCGACGAUCCCUAGCUGGUCUGAGAGGAUGACCAGCCACACUGGAACUGAGACACGGUCCAGACUCCUACGGGAGGCAGCAGUGGGGAAUAUUGCACAAUGGGCGCAAGCCUGAUGCAGCCAUGCCGCGUGUAUGAAGAAGGCCUUCGGGUUGUAAAGUACUUUCAGCGGGGAGGAAGGGAGUGAGGUUAAUAACCUUAUUCAUUGACGUUACCCGCAGAAGAAGCACCGGCUAACUCCGUGCCAGCAGCCGCGGUAAUACGGAGGGUGCGAGCGUUAAUCGGAAUUACUGGGCGUAAAGCGCACGCAGGCGGUCUGUCAAGUCGGAUGUGAAAUCCCCGGGCUCAACCUGGGAACUGCAUUCGAAACUGGCAGGCUGGAGUCUUGUAGAGGGGGGUAGAAUUCCAGGUGUAGCGGUGAAAUGCGUAGAGAUCUGGAGGAAUACCGGUGGCGAAGGCGGCCCCCUGGACAAAGACUGACGCUCAGGUGCGAAAGCGUGGGGAGCAAACAGGAUUAGAUACCCUGGUAGUCCACGCUGUAAACGAUGUCGACGUGGAGGUUGUUCCCUUGAGGAGUGGCUUCCGGA